GUGCUCGCUUCGGCAGCACAUAUACUAAAAUUGGAACGAUACAGAGAAGAUUAGCAUGGACCCUAAAAAAAAAAAAAAAGAAAAUCCAAUCUCUGCCCUUUUUU